CCCUUAGAUGUUCUGGGCGGCCCGCGCACUACAAUGGCGCUUUCAGCGAGUUCCUAUGUUGAAUUUUCCUGGGUAUUCUUGGAAGCGGCGUCUUGACUUGGGAUAGAUCCUUGUAAUUGUUGGUUUUGAACGAGGAAUUCCUUGUAAUCGCGGUUGAUCAGCUCGCGUUGAAUACGUCCCUGCCCUUUGUACACACCGCCCGUCGCACCUACCGAUUGAAUGUUUCGGUGAAGAUUCCGGAUAGGACUUUUUUGAUUUAUUUCAAUUUUGUCUUAAAAGCUAUCUAAACCUCAACAUUUAGAGGAAGGUGAAGUCGUAACA
rnacentral:rRNA from 1 species